CUUGCCAUCUCAGAAAAAAAAUUCCUCCUUUGCAGCAUCGAAAAAAAGAUAGUUACUAAACGAGCUCGGUUUCUUUCGCCGAUAAUACAUGCUGAAUUAUCUACCCACAAAACUGAAAUCAUCCAGUGCAAACGAAGGAAUUUAUUUUCGGAGAUGGCAAGGGAGUGCUUGUUAAUUUAGGUGAUUGACUGUAAAAUACCUUUUCUUGCAAAUUUUGAGCUACGGAGUGAUUUUUUCUCGACAUGAAUAGCCCCGCCUUCUAUUCCCUUUAAAGACACCCAUCUGAAAAUAUGAAAACACAAUCGUUAGAUUUUUGCCUUAUAAAACCUGGAAAUACAGAAUUUACAGAGAUAUCGUCGAAAUUGUCCGCAUUCGAGUUUGUUGCUAUGAACGACGGUAUAGCGGAAGUGCGGGAGUGUAUGGAAGGUGGCUCAGAUGCCGAGAGGAAACCACUUCUGCCCCCCUGUCGGAUAUGUAGGGGAAAGGCAUCAGGCUUCCACUAUGGCGUCAAUUCUUGCGAGGCUUGUAAGGGCUUCUUCCGACGGUGCCUGCGGACGAAAAAUGAACUAAAGUGUGCCGCCGACAAUGACUGCACGUUCCGGCGGGGCUCGCGGACCAACUGCUCGGCUUGUCGUUUCCGUUUGUGUGAGCAGCAAGGCAUGUCCAAACAAGCAAUUAAAACUGGUCGGUAUACAUCAGCGAGGAGAUCGCAGUACAUCAAGGAAGUGAAACUUGAAGCGCAUACACCAGGGUCGACGGGUAUUAAUGAGGAGGAGAACAGCCCAUCGACAGCUGAUCCAAUCCGUAACGCCUUAGAGUGUCAAGAUGUUCCACGGGUGCUGCACUAUGAUAGUCUCGUGUCGGAUUUACUUCAAGCAGUGUCAAGGACGAUAGAAGGGGACCUGGACUCUUUCCUUAACAAGCUUAAAAUGGAAAGCAGGAAAAAUGAUUACUUUAUAGCAUCCUGGAGUAUUGGUUGUUGAGUCACUUCCAGUGCAUGGACGAUGAUUUGAAGGUUUUCACGGGUAAGUUCAACACCUCGUACCGCGACUCCGUCGCCAUCUACUCCGAUGAGUAUCUCGAGUGCCUCUACAGAACCGCCGCUCUCUUUAAGAACCUUAAACUCACGAAAGAAGAGAUUGUUGUCCUCAAAACCAUUGUUUUGACAUUUACAGACAGGUGCGAGUUGCGUGAUCGGGAGAGGGUGGAGAAGAUCCAGCUGCAGAUGAUCGACUGCUACAAAUAUAUCUGCCAGCUGCAGGGACUUCACUUCAACAAGCGCUUCGCAACCGUCAUCAGCAAGCUUCUGCAGGCCCGUAUACUCUCAGAGAAGUUCAAGGACAUUGUGAAGACAGUCGUUAGUCACUGGGAGGUUUUAAAACACUACCCUCUGUUGUCAGAGUUUUACAGUGGAUAUGUGUGAUAACCUCGUUUCUAUGUUUCAGUUGAUCUCAAGCAUCGAGUAUUACGAAAUAAAAAGGGAUUAUAUAUGUAUAACGAUUAUAGGAUAUUAUUAUUUGAUAAACUUUAUGAAACACUGUAUGAUACCAUUCAGUGGUUAGCGUAUCGUAUAUGAAUGAGAGGGUCCCACUCAGAGCUUCUUCAAUGAAUAAUAUUGG